GGACGAACGCUUGCGACGUGCCUAAGAAAUGCAAGUCGAACGGGGGAGCAAUCCCUAGUGGCGAACGGUCGCGUAACACGUGGGCAACCUGCCCUGAAGCGGGGGACAACAGCUCGAAAGGGCUGCUAAUACCGCAUGUGAAGGGGGAUGGCAUCAUCCCUUGUUCAAAGCUUUAUGCACUUCAGGAUGGGCCCGCGGCCUAUCAGCUUGUUGGUGGGGUAACGGCCUACCAAGGCUUCGACGGGUAGCUGGUCUGAGAGGACGAUCAGCCGGAUUGGGACUGAGAUACGGCCCAGACUCCUACGGGGGGCAGCAAUUAGGAAUCUUGCACAAUGGGGGCAACCCUGAUGCAGCGACGUCGCGUGGAGGAUGAAAUCUUUCGGGAUGUAAACUCCUUUUCUCAGGGAAGAAAAAAAUGACGGUACCUGAGGAAUAAGCCCCGGCUAACUACGUGCCAGCAGCCGCGGUAAUACGUAGGGGGCGAGCGUUGUCCGAAGUUACUGGGCGUAAAGAGCGCGUAGGCGGGCUCCUAAGUGAGGGGUGAAAGGUUCGGGCUCAACCCGGAGAGUGCCUUUCAUACUGGGAGCCUUGAGUGCGGGAGAGGCAAGUGGAAUGGUCGGUGUAGCGGUGAAAUGCGUAGAUAUCGAUCGGAACACCCGUGGCGAAGGCGGCUUGCUGGCUCGCAACUGACGCUGAGGCGCGAAAGCGUGGGGAGCAAACAGGAUUAGAUACCCUGGUAGUCCACGCCGUAAACGAUGAGUGCUAGAUGUCCGGGGUAUCGACCCCCCUGGUGUCGCAGCUAACGCAAUAAGCACUCCGCCUGGAGAGUACGGCCGCAAGGUUGAA
rnacentral:rRNA from 1 species